rnacentral:rRNA from 1 species
AUUGAACGCUGGCGGCAUGCCUUACACAUGCAAGUCGAACGGUAACAGGUCUUCGGAUGCUGACGAGUGGCGAACGGGUGAGUAAUACAUCGGAACGUGCCCGAGAGUGGGGGAUAACGAGGCGAAAGCUUUGCUAAUACCGCAUACGAUCUCAGGAUGAAAGCAGGGGACCGCAAGGCCUUGCGCUUACGGAGCGGCCGAUGGCAGAUUAGGUAGUUGGUGGGAUAAAAGCUUACCAAGCCGACGAUCCGUAGCUGGUCUGAGAGGACGACCAGCCACACUGGGACUGAGACACGGCCCAGACUCCUACGGGAGGCAGCAGUGGGGAAUUUUGGACAAUGGGCGCAAGCCUGAUCCAGCCAUGCCGCGUGCAGGAUGAAGGCCUUCGGGUUGUAAACUGCUUUUGUACGGAACGAAAAGACUCUGGUUAAUACCUGGGGUCCAUGACGGUACCGUAAGAAUAAGCACCGGCUAACUACGUGCCAGCCGCCGCAGUAAGAC